rnacentral:misc_RNA from 1 species
AAUUCUCAAAAACCUUUUUCUGCUUUUGCUGAAAAAGAUUUUUGGACUUGGAGGUUCAAUGCUUGCUUUGAAAGUAAGCUCCUCUUAAAUGAAUUAGUGGGGUCUGCUUUGCUGGUCCUUGACGUGAUAAGAAGUCUCUACGUUUUGGAUUUAGCACUGUCCCUUUGGACGCCUGCUUCUAACUGUCCGAUGGACAAUGAUGAUGGUGUUCUGGUCUUUGUGCCCGUCUACUUUGGCGGGGGGAGAGGCUGGACCCACAAAAGAAAA